AUUGAACGCUGGCGGCAGGCCUAACACAUGCAAGUCGAGCGGAGCGGCGGACGGGUGAGUAAUGCCUAGGAAUCUGCCUGGUAGUGGGGGAUAACGUCCGGAAACGGGCGCUAAUACCGCAUACUAUCAGAUGAGCCUAGGUCGGAUUAGCCAGUUGGUGGGGUAAAGGCCUACCAAGGGGACGAUCCCUAACUGGUAUGAGAGGAUGAUCAGUUAACCUGGAACGUGGACACGGUCCAGACUCCUCACGGAGGGCGCAGGUGGGAAUCUUGGGCAAUUGGGGAAAUCCUGGUUCAGCCAGUCCCCGUGUUUGAAGAAGGUCUUCGGAUUGUAAAGGCCUUUAAGUUGGGAGGCGUUACCAACAGAAUAAGCACCGGCUAACUUCGUGCCAGCAGCCGCGGUAAUAC
rnacentral:rRNA from 1 species